AGUAACCUGCCCUUGACUUUGGGAUAACUUCAGGAAACUGGGGCUAAUACCGCAUAAGAGUAGAUGUUGCAUGACAUUUGCUUAAAAGGUGCAAUUGCAUCACUACCAGAUGGACCUGCGUUGUAUUAGCUAGUUGGUGAGGUAACGGCUCACCAAGGCGACGAUACAUAGCCGACCUGAGAGGGUGAUCGGCCACACUGGGACUGAGACACGGCCCAG
rnacentral:rRNA from 1 species